rnacentral:rRNA from 1 species
GACGAACGCUGGCGGCGUGCUUAACACAUGCAAGUCGAACGCUGAAGCUCAGCUUUUGUUGGGUGGAUGAGUGGCGAACGGGUGAGUAACACGUGAGUAACCUGCCUCCUUCUUUGGGAUAACGCCCGGAAACGGGUGCUAAUACUGGAUAUUCACUGGUCUUCGCAUGGGGGUUGGUGGAAAGGGUUUUUCUGGUGGGGGAUGGGCUCGCGGCCUAUCAGCUUGUUGGUGGGGUGAUGGCCUACCAAGGCUUUGACGGGUAGCCGGCCUGAGAGGGUGACCGGUCACAUUGAGACUGAGAUACGGCCCAGACUCCUACGGGAGGCAGCAGUGGGGAAUAAUGCACAAUGGGCGCAAGCCUGAUGCAGCGACGCCGCGUGAGGGAUGGAGGCCUUCGGGUUGUGAACCUCUUUCGCACAUGGUCAAGCCGCAACAAUGGUUGUGGUGAGGGUAGUGGGUAAAGAAGCGCCGGCUAACUACGUG